rnacentral:rRNA from 1 species
GAUGAACGCUAGCUACAGGCUUAACACAUGCAAGUCGAGGGGCAGCAUGGUCUUAGCUUGCUAAGGCCGAUGGCGACCGGCGCACGGGUGAGUAACACGUAUCCAACCUGCCGUCUACUCUUGGACAGCCUUCUGAAAGGAAGAUUAAUACAAGAUGGCAUCAUGAGUUCACAUGUUCACAUGAUUAAAGGUGUUCCGGUAGACGAUGGGGAUGCGUUCCAUUAGAUAGUAGGCGGGGUAACGGCCCACCUAGUCUUCGAUGGAUAGGGGUUCUGAGAGGAAGGUCCCCCACAUUGGAACUGAGACACGGUCCAAACUCCUACGGGAGGCAGCAGUGAGGAAUAUUGGUCAAUGGGCGAGAGCCUGAACCAGCCAAGUAGCGUGAAGGAUGACUGCCCUAUGGGUUGUAAACUUCUUUUAUAAAGGAAUAAAGUCGGGUAUGUAUACCCGUUUGCAUGUACUUUAUGAAUAAGGAUCGGCUAACUCCGUG